AUUAAUAUAUGUGUGUUAAUGCACUUGUUCAUUGAGUAAAAAAUAUAAAUUUUACUGUCUGAAUUCUGCUCUCUAGGAAUUGUCAUGAAUUUGGUACUAUUAUUGCCUUGCCAGACUAGGCUAGUUGUCUUUACCCUACUCCCAACUGUGUAAGGCAUUAUAUGUCAAAUAUUUGUCACCAAAGCCAGUGGUGGCAAGCAAUUCAAAGGUUUUUCACUCUCAGGCAUAGGCAAAGUGAGUUUGGAGACCACAAAUGAGAAGAAGGGAGAGCAGGAGAGGAAAGGAGAGAAUAGGGGAGGGGAGAAGACGGAAGAAAUGUAUGAUAGAAUACUAUCUGCUGCAUUUUUGAGGGCUGAUGGUGAACUAAUAUUGUGUGUCUUUUCCUAGUAGGAGUGGGCAUUGGAGAUUGAAGCUGAGAUCAAUGGCAGACAGGGCAGCAUGGCUUGCACAUGAUUUAUCUGUUCGGCAUAGCAGAAGUGAUUGAAACAGGGAUGGGUGGAAGCUUACUCAAGAUGAGAUACUCCAUGAAAAUCUUUUCCCAAAUAUUUGGGUCUUCCAUAUUGAUACCCAUCCUUACCGCCUGUCUCACAGGGAAAGAUGACUUAGAUGUGGAAACUGAGACUGAGAGAGGCUGAAGCACAUGCUGACGGCAACUGGAAUCCAAAGCCUGCCCACUAGAAUGUGGAUAUUGUCAUCCUCGCCUAAAAUGUUCAACUGGUGCUCAUUGAUUGGGUGCCUACUCUGUUACUAUGUAUCAGGCACUAUCAAACUUUCUGCCCAUUUUUUUUAAGUCUUUAUGACAUUCCCUGUGAAAUGGGUACUCUCAUUAGUCAACUCUGUAAUUCUCUCAAAUUCAAAAUGAAAUGAUUUUUUUAAAGUUGUGAAUAAAGUGAACACUCCUUUUUUCUUUUUAUUUAUUCCCCAUAUUAUUUGUUAUUUCUGAGCACUCUUUUUGGAGGAAGAUGUCUUCAUGGCUUACAUAUAUU
rnacentral:lncRNA from 1 species